rnacentral:rRNA from 1 species
UACGAAGGGGGCUAGCGUUGCUCGGAUUUACUGGGCGUAAAGGGCGCGUAGGCGGUCAGUUAAGUUGGGGGUGAAAGCCCGGGGCUCAACCUCGGAAUUGCCUUCAAUACUGGCUGUCUUGAGUGUGAGAGAGGUGUGUGGAACUCCGAGUGUAGAGGUGAAAUUCGUAGAUAUUCGGAAGAACACCAGUGGCGAAGGCGACACACUGGCUCACUACUGACGCUGAGGAGCGAAAGCGUGGGGAGCAAACAGG